rnacentral:rRNA from 1 species
UACGAAGGGGGCUAGCGUUGUUCGGAAUUACUGGGCGUAAAGGGCGCGUAGGCGGUACUUCAAGUCAGGCGUGAAAGCCCCGGGCUCAACCUGGGAACCGCGCUUGAGACUGGAGAACUAGAGUUCGGGAGAGGAUGGUGGAAUUCCCAGUGUAGAGGUGAAAUUCGUAGAUAUUGGGAAGAACACCGAUGGCGAAGGCAGCCAUCUGGACCGACACUGACGCUGAGGCGCGAAAAGCGUGGGGAGCAAACAGG